rnacentral:rRNA from 1 species
GACGAACGCUGGCGGCGUGCCUAAUACAUGCAAGUAGAACGCACAGUUUAUACCGUAGCUUGCUACACCAUAAACUGUGAGUUGCGAACGGGUGAGUAACGCGUAGGUAACCUGUCUGGUAGCGGGGGAUAACUAUUGGAAACGAUAGCUAAUACCGCAUAAUAUUGAUUAUUGCAUGAUAAUUGAUUGAAAGAUGCUAUUGCAUCACUACCAGAUGGACCUGCGUUGUAUUAGCUAGUAGGUGAGGUAACGGCUCACCUAGGCGACGAUACAUAGCCGACCUGAGAGGGUGAUCGGCCACACUGGGACUGAGACACGGCCCAGACUCCUACGGGAGGCAGCAGUAGGGAAUCUUCGGCAAUGGACGAAAGUCUGACCGAGCAACGCCGCGUGAGUGAAGAAGGUUGUCGGAUCGUAAAGCUCUGUUGUAAGAGAAGAACGGGUGUGAGAGUGGAAAGUUCACACUGUGACGGUAUCUUACCAGAAAGGGACGGCUAACUACGUG